ACAAACAUAUGUCAAAAUCAUCCAAAUUGGUCCACUGGUUCAAAAGAUAGAUCGAAGUCCUUUGUGACCAAAUGAAGCAUGGCUUUUCUGCCCAAAACCAGUUCCACAGAGUCUUCUAUCCUGGAGAUAAUUGGGAAGUAAUCCAAUUAUCUCCAAGGACAGAGGCAAAACUCCAUUAAGCACAUGGCAGUAAAAAGACAGUAAAAUACAAUAAA
rnacentral:lncRNA from 1 species